rnacentral:rRNA from 1 species
CAGGCUUAACACAUGCAAGUCGAGGGGCAGCAUUUUAGUUUGCUUGCAAACUGAAGAUGGCGACCGGCGCACGGGUGAGUAACACGUAUCCAACCUGCCGAUAACUCCGGAAUAGCCUUUCGAAAGAAAGAUUAAUACCGGAUGGCAUACGAAUAUCGCAUGAUAUUUUUAUUAAAGAAUUUCGGUUAUCGAUGGGGAUGCGUUCCAUUAGUUUGUUGGCGGGGUAACGGCCCACCAAGACUACGAUGGAUAGGGGUUCUGAGAGGAAGGUCCCCCACAUUGGAACUGAGACACGGUCCAAACUCCUACGGGAGGCAGCAGUGAGGAAUAUUGGUCAAUGGGCGAGAGCCUGAACCAGCCAAGUAGCGUGAAGGAUGAAGGCUCUAUGGGUCGUAAACUUCUUUUAUAUGGGAAUAAAGUUUUCCACGUGUGGAAUUUUGUAUGUACCAUAUGAAUAAGGAUCGGCUAACUCCGUGCCAGCAGCCGCGGUAAUACGGAGGAUCCGAGCGUUAUCCGGAUUUAUUGGGUUUAAAGGGAGCGUAGGUGGAUUGUUAAGUCAGUUGUGAAAGUUUGCGGCUCAACCGUAAAAUUGCAGUUGAAACUGGGAGUCUUGAGUACAGUAGAGGUGGGCGGAAUUCGUGGUGUAGCGGUGAAAUGCUUAGAUAUCACGAAGAACUCCGAUUGCGAAGGCAGCUCACUAGACUGUCACUGACACUGAUGCUCGAAAGUGUGGGUAUCAAACAGGAUUAGAUACCCUGGUAGUCCACACAGUAAACGAUGAAUACUCGCUGUUUGCGAUAUACAGUAAGCGGCCAAGCGAAAGCAUUAAGUAUUCCACCUGGGGAGUACGCCGGCAACGGUGAAACUCAAAGGAAUUGACGGGGGCCCGCACGAGCGGAGGAACAUGUGGUUUAAUUCGAUGAUACGCGAGGAACCUUACCCGGGCUUAAAUUGCAACAGAAUAUAUUGGAAACAGUAUAGCCGUAAGGCUGUUGUGAAGGUGCUGCAUGGUUGUCGUCAGCUCGUGCCGUGAGGUGUCGGCUUAAGUGCCAUAACGAGCGCAACCCUUAUCUUUAGUUACUAACAGGUUAUGCUGAGGACUCUAGAGAGACUGCCGUCGUAAGAUGUGAGGAAGGUGGGGAUGACGUCAAAUCAGCACGGCCCUUACGUCCGGGGCUACACACGUGUUACAAUGGGGGGUACAGAAGGCGGCUACCUGGUGACAGGAUGCUAAUCCCAAAAACCUCUCUCAGUUCGGAUCGAAGUCUGCAACCCGACUUCGUGAAGCUGGAUUCGCUAGUAAUCGCGCAUCAGCCAUGGCGCGGUGAAUACGUUCCCGGGCCUUGUACACACCGCCCGUCAAGCCAUGAAAGCCGGGGGUACCUGAAGUACGUAACCGCAAGGAGCGUCCUAGGGUAAAACUGGUAAUUGGGGCUAAGUC